rnacentral:lncRNA from 1 species
UGGAUGGCAAGAGCUGGUACUAGACCAGGUGUCACAAUUCAUCAACGUGCUUGCACAAUAAAGGGGUAUCACAGCUCGGGUGCUGACAAAGGAUUAUGUUUGGGAGUUUUGGAGCAGCUCUCUGACCUAGGAUUUUAUGCCAAGCUCCGGAUCUUCUUUGACAUGUAUGGAUUCAAUUUUAGGUAUGAAUGUGUAUCGUUCUCCUUCAACUUGUUUCUCUUAUAGUUGACCUCAAAAUUAAUCUUGAAAAUGUUCUUCUGUUUGAUCUGGAUUCCUG